AUGGCUGGUUUCUUGGGUUCCACUGAAUAUUCUGCAGUAUUCCUGGUUAGUUGUGUAAAAAACUUCAAAUCCUUCUCAUUUUUCUUAGCAUGGCAGAAUAAACACUUCUUCACGUACAAUAAGGACCGCAAUGAUGUGGGCAACUUCAUAUCAAGUGGUGAUAUGGAUGGACUUCAGUCUUUUUGUAAUAAUCAGGCCCUGAUUUUCGAGCUCAGACAUGAUCAUCACCAGCACCCCUCUCCUCUCGUUGCAGCAGAUAUUCAGGAGUGCCGUGUUCCCUUUGAUGCUGGCCUCAAUGUCCGGGCUUGA
rnacentral:rRNA from 1 species